CAGCCGCCGCGGUAAUACGUAGGUGGCAAGCGUUGUCCGGAAUUAUUGGGCGUAAAGGGCUCGCAGGCGGUUUCUUAAGUCUGAUGUGAGAGCCCCCGGCUCAACCGGGGAGGGUCAUUGGAAACUGGGAAACUUGAGUGCAGAAGAGGAGAGUGGAAUUCCACGUGUAGCGGUGAAAUGCGUAGAGAUGUGGAGGAACACCAGUGGCGGAGGCGACUCUCUGGUCUGUAACUGACGCUGAGGAGCGAAAGCGUGGGGAGCGAACAGGAUUAGAUACCCCCGUAGUCCCUGUCUCUUAUAC
rnacentral:rRNA from 1 species